rnacentral:rRNA from 1 species
CCUACGGGAGGCAGCAGUGAGGAAUAUUGGUCAAUGGACGAGAGUCUGAACCAGCCAAGUAGCGUGAAGGAUGACUGCCCUAUGGGUUGUAAACUUCUUUUAUAAAGGAAUAAAACGAGGCACGUGUGCCUUUUUGCAUGUACUUUAUGAAUAAGGAUCGGCUAACUCCGUGCCAGCAGCCGCGGUAAUACGGAGGGUCCGAGCGUUAUCCGGAUUUAGUGGGUUUAAGGGGAGCGUAGAUGGGUGGUCAAGUCAGUUGUGAAAGUUUGCGGCUCAACCGUAAAAUUGCAAUUGAUACUGGCAGUCUUGAGUACAGUUGAGGUAGGUGGAAUUCGUGGUGUAGCGGUGAAAUGCUUAGAUAUCACGAAGAACCCCGAUUGCGAAGGCAGCUUACUAAACUGUGACUGACAUUGAUGCUCGAAAGUGUGGGUAUCAAACAGGAUUAGAUACCCCAGUAGUC